rnacentral:misc_RNA from 1 species
CUGAGAGCAAAGAGGCUG